UACGUAGGGGGCUAGCGUUGUCCGGAAUCAUUGGGCGUAAAGCGCGUGUAGGCGGCCCGGUAAGUCCGCUGUGAAAGUCGGGGGCUCAACCCUCGGAUGCCGGUGGAUACUGUUGUGCUAGAGUGCGGAAGGGGCUACUGGAAUUCUCGGUGUAGCGGUGAAAUGCGUAGAUAUCGAGAGGAACACCUGCGGCGAAGGCGGGUAGCUGGGCCGACACUGACGCUGAGGCGCGAAAGCCAGGGGAGCGAACGGG
rnacentral:rRNA from 1 species